AGUGGGCGUGCAGGAGAAGCUGUAGGUCAGGAGGUAGAGUUGGCAGUGGGCGUGCAGGAGAAGCUGUAGGUCGGAGAGGUAGAGUUGGCAGUGGGCGUGCAGGAGAAGCUGUAGGUCGGAGAGGUAGAGGUGGCAGUGGGCGUGCAGGAGAAGCUGUAGGUCGGAGAGGUAGAGGUGGCAGUGGGCGUGCAGGAGAAGCUGUAGGUCGGGGGGUAGAGGUGGCAGUGGGCGUGCAGGAGAACCUGUAGGUCAGAGAGGUAGAGGUGGCAGUGGGCGUGCAGGAGAAGGUGUAGGUCAGGGGGUAGAGGUGGCAGUGGGCGUGCAGGAGAAGCUGUAGGUCGGGAGGUAGAGGUGGCAGUGGGCGUGCAGGAGAAGCUGUAGGUCAGGGGGUAGAGGUGGCAGUGGGCGUGCAGGAGAAGCUGUAGGUC
rnacentral:lncRNA from 1 species